GCACAAGCGGUGGAGCAUGUGGAUUAAUUCGAUGCAACGCGUAGAACCUUACCUGGGUUUGACAUGGAUCGGGAGUGCUCAGAGAUGGGUGUGCCUCUUUUGGGGUCGGUUCACAGGUGGUGCAUGGCUGUCGUCAGCUCGUGUCGUGAGAUGUUGGGUUAAGUCCCGCAACGAGCGCAACCCUUGUUCACUGUUGCCAGCACGUUAUGGUGGGGACUCAGUGGAGACCGCCGGGGUCAACUCGGAGGAAGGUGGGGAUGACGUCAAGUCAUCAUGCCCCUUAUGUCCAGGGCUUCACGCAUGCUACAAUGGCUGGUACAGAGAGUGGCGAGCCUGUGAGGGUGAGCGAAUCUCGGAAAGCCGGUCUCAGUUCGGAUUGGGGUCUGCAACUCGACCUCAUGAAGUCGGAGUCGCUAGUAAUCGCAGAUCAGCAACGCUGCGGUGAAUACGUCCCGGGC
rnacentral:rRNA from 1 species